CCGGCGCAGGCGCGCUCCCCGCCCCAAUUGCUCUGCUAGAGAGCGCGGCGGGCUGUGGGCGUCCUGAGCGGUGAGAGAGCCCCAGCCUGCUGCUCAGUACUGUAGUGGGAGCUAGGGAAAAACUCAGUGUGAUGAAGGAUGGUGCUGUAUCCUGUGUCCUUCUCCGAUCCUACUGCUGUCUCUCUGCACUAGGUGAGUGCCUCGCUACCUACAGUAUCCAGAGCACUGAUUUGCCACCUUAACACUGCUCACAGCACCUAUGAUGAUUCCUAUAGAUGCAGAAUCUAAAGCCAAACAGCCUUUUUCCCAAGACUACACAACUAAUAAAGACAGCAGUCACAUUUGAAUGCAGGUGUGUCCUAAGUAUCAUUGCCCC
rnacentral:lncRNA from 1 species